AAAGCAGGGAGAACGCUGGCCGUGGAGGCUGCUGAAUGGCGGCCAAAUCCACGGCCAAAGCGCUAACAGAGCAGAGCAUUCAUCACAUGAGCUCAUUCCUGUUCUCUUAUUCAGCAGGCUGCAUUCUGCAUCUUUUCCUCUGAGACUCACCAUUUGCUCUGACUUUGCAGCUAAUGCAACAAAUAGGUAAAGAGAGAUCGCGGCUCGCUGUCUGGAUGUAAACUCUGGCUACAUUUCUCCAAGCCAGAGACAUGGAGAGAACCUAGACUUUCCCAUUCUAACUUGCCAUGGAGUUUGGGAGAAUCCAGCCCAUUUACGGUACGGCUUCCAUCAGAGGAGAAAUGAAGGUGCAGCAAACAGAGGGGUCUCAUUCACGUUGUCACAUCUGGGAUCCCCAGCAUUCCAACACUGAGGGUUUCAAACCAUCUUGGUAAAAUCUAAGGGCCUGUUUUGGGAAUUUCCUUUCUCUGGAGAUGGGAGGGAGUUACCUUCUUUACAUAUCCCACUCUUGAGACACAGAAUCCUUGGUUUUCCUUUGGGAAUUACCACCAUUCACGGGAGAGGGGAGGCCUGCACACUGAAUGAUUUAAGCAUAUGCCUUACCUCCUGGUUACAGGGAUUGAUUCAGGGAUGAACACAUAAUUCAUUCAGACUAAGGAGGCACGGUAAGGAGCCGGGGCUUUUGAGAAAGAAAAGUUUUUCUUCUUUCAUAGAAUUAGUAGUGUGAUGGUUGAUGUGAAGGCUGGAGCUGCAACCUUCUUGCAACUAGAAGAGGCCAAAGCUGCCAGGAGCUAUGAGGAACCUAAGAGUGCAACCAACUAAGAAGAACCUACGAGUCAAGCUACCCAAAGGAAGAGUGUAUCACCAGUCCUUCCCAAAGGCUCAGUGCUGCAGAUGGUUUCAUAAAAAGGAGCGUACGGUCAACUACAUUUUGGGAAAUGUUCCAGGUGGUAGCCUCCUUUUGGACAGUGACAGUUAACAUGAGGGUAGUAAGGGCUCUGGGAAUUCUUGCAGGAAUGAAAACUCUUCAGUUUUAUUUAACUCAACAUUUCCCAAACUGAUUUGACCGAAGAAACCACUCCCUCCUCUUUUACUCCGCCUACAAGUGCUCAGCAUCCCAAGGACCUAGAGCUCUGAGGGACAUGCACUGCGAAAUGCUACUUUAUACGCUUUGCUUUCAUCUCUCACCUCCCAUUUAUCCACUUAGAAAUCAUUAUAAAAUAUUUUUAAAUACCAGAAAUAUACAGAACACUUGUAGCUACACUAGUUUUGCCAAAUUUUACUGAAAAAGAUCUCAAUCAAAUAGGGCAGAAGACUUGCAGUUUUCAAAUUCUCCAUUUCUCACCUUGGCACACGUCCCUUCUGUCUCGAGUGCCCCUUCUCGCCUUUCUCCACCAUUCUUCGCUUGACAAAAUCCUAUUCCACCUUCAAGACUCAGAUAUUAAUACCGCCAAGAAGCCUUUCCAGACCCUGCCGCCUAUU